rnacentral:misc_RNA from 1 species
GAUUGGCCCGGUGGUCAUUAUUAAGUAAACCAUCGGCGGGGUGGCGCGGUACGGUUGUCGUAGCGGGCACAACACCGCAGCACGCGGCGGGCCCGCGCACCGCUCGCGGCUCGCCGCCGCACGCCAUGGCUGACAUGCCGGACCUUUCGCACCUCACGCCCGAGGAGCGCGCCAUCAUCGAGGGAGUCAUAAUGCGCCAAAAGCAGGAGGAGCAGCGCGAACACGAAAUUAUGAGACGUAAACAAGACGAAGUCGCAGUGCUAGAGCAAACAAUUCGUACAAGAAACGAACUUCAAAGAGCAGCGGGUGUGGAACUUGCUGCCACCUGCCAUAUUUGUUUGAAGACAAAAUUCGCGGACGGCGUUGGACAUUCUUGCCACUAUUGCCGAGUGAGAUGCUGCGCUCGCUGUGGUGGCAAAGUCACUUUACGAUCUAAUAAGGUUAUUUGGGUUUGUAUCCUUUGCCGAAAAAAACAAGAACUAUUAUCAAAAACUGGACAAUGGAUACACAAAAGCACAGGCCCAGAUUCUAUGUUAUGGAGGAUGGAGUCUGAGUUGCGAGGCCUGCUGCCCCAAGACGAUGCUUCGCAUGAUAAAAGACCCAAACUCGAGCGAGCGCAUAGUGCAGCCGAAAAAGAAAACCAGCCACUUCAGAGAUCAGGAAGUGCCCUACGACGUCAGUAUAGUCAACAAGAACAAAGGUGCUACGGAGAACUGGAGGGAUUGGCGAGAACGCACCCUCACCUGGUACAUUCAAGACAAAAAGCCGCCUAUGGUGUAGUUGACACUAUGAUCUCGGCGCCUCUACCCGCGCAACUGUUACCACACGGCCCUGCUGGUCACAGCAUGCCCUUACCGCCUCGUUCCUCCUCAUCGGACGACGAAGUACCGGAGUGUAUCUCCGAUGAAAACGACGAGUAUCGUGAUCGUGGGAAACUAGAAGCGUGUGCUUCUCACCGGCACCCGCAUCUGCGAAGUGCCAACGUAGCUGCCAUCAAUUAUUACAAUUUGACUAAUCACUCGUCAGCUGGCUAUGAGAACGAGAGCCGCGGGCAGUUCGAACACAGAACUGUGCCAGCCGGUGGACGCAGUUUCGAUUCCGUGACCGAUUGUCGAUGGCGGGCACGUGACGAAAGCGAAGGUGCAUAUUUACGUCCGUAUAUACCAGACGAGGGCCCGCGCCCCGAACGCGCCGUAUAUAAGAGUGCGUACUUGUGGGAAGACUCCUCGGACAAUAGACGUUUUACUGAAAGGAGAAAAAAAACUGUCCGUUUCGAUGGUCACGAAGGCGCAGCGACAUUUCCGAGGGGAGGCCGUGAUGCGUCGGGCGCUCCAAGCGAUUGGGCCUCCCUUCGCUGGGAGUCAGAGCGGCAGACAAGCCAAGAUUCUGCAACAAAAGAUUCAGGCAUCGAUACCUCUAGCACAUUCACAUCCAGUGAAGAUUCAAACAGAGGCGAUUGCCCUAAGUUUCCGCCGAGUUGGCAAGCGUCAACGGAUGGUUCGCGCGUGAUCGGUCACAUGGUGCUACGCAAAAGCGUUGUGGAGGGUAGUUCGCACUCUUCUGCAGCAAUCCUGGGCUUAAAGGUCGUAGGUGGAAAAUUGCUACCCGAUGGCAUACGUGGUGCUAUAAUAGAAAAAGUUAAGAAAGGAUCAAUAGCCGAUUUGGAAGGGCAGCUAAGAAUCGGAGACGAAGUUUUACAAUGGAAUGGUGUGCCUCUUCAAGGUCGAUCGGCCGAAGAGGUCGCAGCAGUUGUUGCUGACAGCAAGCACGACACUCAUGUCGAAUUAGUGGUAUCACGUUCUCUUCCGGUCACUCGACCUGGAGCUCAGCCAUGGAGAAGCCAUAAAGAAGUCUACACGGAGACAAUGAUGGUGGGCGGCUGCGAGAAGCCUAGCGUGCUUGUGACGUCUCCGGGAUCUCCAGACGUACACUCGCGGCGUCGAUCCAAUCGUCACAGUCAUCACAACGCAAAUGUAGCUGGACGCAUACAGCUGAAAAUAUAUUUUGACAUAAGUGCCCUACAACUCUUGGUAACCGUGGUAUCGGCAAGUGGCUUGACUCCGCGUGCAGACGGCUCGCCUAGAUGUCCUUACGCAAAAAUAUUUUUGCUUCCCGACAAGAGUGAAAAAAGCAAACGAAGAACUAAAACGCUAGCCAAUACAUUAGAGCCGAGAUGGAACCAAACAUUCGUUUAUUGUGGCAUACGUAUUACUGACAUCAAAAAAAGAACACUGGAGGUGACAGUGUGGGAUUUGAAUCGUUAUGGACCGAAUGACUUUCUUGGUGAAGUUUUACUUGAUCUUGACAACAUAAUGAUGAAUCAUGAGCCGAACUGGUACACCUUAAAGCCGCAUGAAGAUUCCAGUAGCUUUUACAGAUACCGAGAGGAAGAGGCAGACGGUGAUCAUUUAUCUCCACCAUCGACAUCGACCUCACGAUUAUCAGAUUCGGACACGCCAAGUGAAUGUGACCUACGACGUCAUCAUUCUCUUUCGAGCCUCGCGUCUAGCUCUAGUCCGCCACCUCCUCAUGAUAGGAUGGAUAUGGAAGGUAUAAGAAGCAGCCGACGCGAUAUGUCCCCCGCAAGUCGAGUAAGAACUACUGGAAUGUCUAGAGAUCGGAGCUGCGGGUACAGCGUAGCGCGGUCGCAGUCUGCAGCGGGAGUGGCGCGGCCCCAACGCGCCCGCAGCAAGUCUCCGCGCCGCUCGCUAUCGCCGCCCGCCGACCGCGACGUCUGGCGCUACGCAGUUAAUGACGACAGAGGAGGCGACGGCUCGCGGUUGCCGACACACGCGUAUGCUCCUCGAUUCCAAUCACGGUCGGCGACCGCCACACCCACCACGAGUCCCAAGAAACGCCAGUUGCCUCAGAUACCGCACCAGAGUCAGAGUACCCAACGGGCUGUACGAGCGCAGGUGUCCGCGGACCUAGAAGAACGUAAGUGGAUCGCCCCGCACCACAUUGGCGCCACACUCACGUACCGCAGCACGCCACAAGGAUGGGAGCGACAUUAUGCGGGUUUAUCUGAUUCGGAGCUUGCUGCCCGCAGUGGCGGUAGUUGGGCUCCACGGAGAAGGCUAUCUCCUGAUGCAACAGCAGCAGAUUCCGACCUAGAAUCGGUCGCUUCUGUAACAUCAAGCGCCUUCAGCACACAAUCCGAACGACCUCGACCGACACGUAUGCUUAGCAACGAUUAUGGUGGAAGGGACAACGGAAGGAACAAUAAUCAGCCACAGCCGUUGGAGAGACGCGAGUCUCGACGAGGCCAGUUCACUAGGAGUUUGAGCAACGCAGAUGUUCCGCCUGAUGAAAAAACAGAUGGCAGUCUAAGUGACACUGCGUUGGGUGGUACCGGCGAGCUGGAGCCAAGCACUGAUGAUGUCCUCUUAAAAGCUGAGCCUCGGGAUUAUUUCGGGCCGGGCAUGGGCAAGAAAAGCAACUCUACCUCACAAUUGUCAGCCACAGGUGGUCCCCGGGCAUGCGAGGUUCUGGUUCUUCAGAGGGCGGAGGGCUGUCGGACUUCAUUGACGGCCUAGGUCCCGGACAGCUGGUCGGAAGACAAUUACUAGGAGCGACUACGCUUGGAGAUGUCCAACUUUCAAUGUGCUACCAAAAAGGAUUCUUAGAGGUGGAAGUCAUACGUGCUCGCGGCUUACAAGCCAGGCAAGGAAGCCGAACCCUUCCAGCGCCAUACGUCAAGGUGUAUCUCGUGAGCGGAAAGCGAUGUAUAGCCAAAGCAAAGACAAC